rnacentral:sRNA from 1 species
GUGCGCUUGACGCCGGCCUGUCACGGCAGCCCGGACAACGCGCCUUUGAAUCUGGUCGAGCCGCUGGGCCACAAGCCCACCGCCAGGCGCAGAAGGGAUAUCGCCGGCAGUCGUCGGAGUGAUCCCGCGCAGUUUGCCUGCCGUAGCCAAGAGCCACGACGGGCCGACGUGAAUAGCUCGAUGAUGCG